GAUAGGUGAACACAGCUCUAUCUCUCUCUCUCUCUCUCUCUCUCUCUCACACACACACACACACACAGAGAGAGAGAGAGAGAGAGAGAGAGAGAGAUGCUUCAAGGCGAAG
rnacentral:miRNA from 1 species